rnacentral:rRNA from 1 species
CGAUGAUGGGAGCUAGCUUGCUAGAAGAAGUCAUGGCGGACGGGUGAGUAACGUGUAAAGAACUUACCAUAUAGACUGGGAUAACAGAGGGAAACUUCUGAUAAUACUGGAUAAGUUAGAAGUAGCAUUACUAAGUAAUGAAAGGUAGCAAUACGCUAUAUGAGAGCUUUGCAUCCUAUUAGCUAGUUGGUGGGGUAGAAGCCUACCAAGGCGAUGAUAGGUAGCCGGCCUGAGAGGGUGGACGGCCACAAGGGGACUGAGAUACGGCCCUUACUCCUACGGGAGGCAGCAGUGGGGAAUAUUGGACAAUGGAGGCAGCUCUGAUCCAGCAAUUCUGUGUGUGUGAAGAAGAUUUUAGGACUGUAAAACACUUUUAGUAGGGAAGAAAGAAAUGACGGUACCUACAGAAGAAGCGACGGCUAAAUACGUGCCAGCAGCCGCGGUAAUACGUAUGUCGCGAGCGUUAUCCGGAAUUAUUGGGCUUAAAGGGCAUCUAGGCGGUUAAACAAGUUGAAGGUGAAAACCUGUGGCUCAACCAUAGGCUUGCCUACAAAACUGUAUAACUAGAGUACUGGAAAGGUGGGUGGAACUACACGAGUAGAGGUGAAAUUCGUAGAUAUGUGUAGGAAUGCCGAUGAUGAAGAUAACUCACUGGACAGCAACUGACGCUGAAGUGCGAAAGCUAGGGGAGCAAACAGGAUUAGAUACCCUGGUAGUCCUAGCUGUAAACGAUGAUCACUGGGUGUGGGGAUUCGAAGUCUCUGUGCCGAAGCAAAAGCGAUAAGUGAUCCGCCUGGGGAGUACGUUCGCAAG